UACGGAGGGUGCAAGCGUUACCCGGAAUCACUGGGCGUAAAGGGCGUGUAGGCGGGAUGUUAAGUCUGGAUUUAAAGACCGAAGCUCAACUUCGGGCAUGGUCUGGAUACUGGCAUUCUAGACGACUGGAAGGGAGAGUGGAAUUCUCGGUGUAGCGGUGGAAUGCGUAGAUACCGAGAGGAACACCAGUGGCGAAGGCGGCUCUCUGGACAGUGCGUGACGCUGAGGCGCGAAAGUGUGGGGAGCGAACCGG
rnacentral:rRNA from 1 species